CAACUCUCGGCAACGGAUAUCUCGUCUCUCGCAUCAAUAAAGAACAUAGCGAAAUACAAUACUUGGUGUGAAUUGCAGAAUCCCGCGAACCAUCGAGUUUUUGAACGCAAGUUGUGCCUGAAACCAUCAAGCUGAGGGCACGCCUGCCUAGGCGUCACG
rnacentral:rRNA from 1 species